rnacentral:rRNA from 1 species
AACGUACGCUGGCGGCAUGCCUAACACAUGCAAGUCGAACGAGACCUUCGGGUCUAGUGGCGCACGGGUGCGUAACGCGUGGGAACCUGCCCUUAGGUUCGGAAUAACUCCCCGAAAGGGGUGCUAAUACCGGAUAAUGUCUUCGGACCAAAGAUUUAUCGCCUUUGGAUGGGCCCGCGUUGGAUUAGCUAGUUGGUAGGGUAAAAGCCUACCAAGGCGACGAUCCAUAGCUGGUCUGAGAGGAUGAUCAGCCACACUGGGACUGAGACACGGCCCAGACUCCUACGGGAAGCAGCAGUGGGGAAUAUUGGACAAUGGGCGAAAGCCUGAUCCAGCAAUGCCGCGUGAGUGAUGAAGGCCUUAGGGUUGUAAAGCUCUUUUACCCGGGAUGAUAAUGACAGUACCGGGAGAAUAAGCUCCGGCUAACUCCGUG